rnacentral:rRNA from 1 species
CCUACGGGAGGCUGCAGUGAGGAAUAUUGGUCAAUGGACGAGAGUCUGAACCAGCCACGUAGCGUGAAGGAUGACUGCCCUAUGGGUUGUAAACUUCUUUUAUAAAGGAAUAAAACGAGGCACGUGUGCCUUUUUGCAUGUACUUUAUGAAUAAGGCUCGGCUAACUCCGUGCCAGCAGCCGCGGUAAUACGGAGGAUCCGAGCGUUAUCCGGAUUUAUUGGGUUUAAAGGGAGCGUAGAUGGGUUGUUAAGUCAGUUGUGAAAGUUUGCGGCUCAACCGUAAAAUUGCAAUUGAUACUGGCAGUCGUGAGUACAGUUGAGGUAGGCGGAAUUCGUGGUGUAGCGGUGAAAUGCUUAGAUAUCACGAAGAACCCCGAUUGCGAAGGCAGCUUACUAAACUGUGACUGACAUUGAUGCUCGAAAGUGUGGGUAUCAAACAGGAUUAGAUACCCUAGUAGUC